UGGGGAAUUUUGCGCAAUGGGCGAAAGCCUGACGCAGCAACGCCGCGUGAGCGAUGAAGGNCUUCGGGUCGUAAAGCUCUGUCGGGUGGGAAGAACANAAUGACGGUACCNCCAAAGGAAGCCCCGGCUAACUCCGUGCCAGCAGCCGCGGUAACACGGAGGGGGCNAGCGUUGUUCGGAAUNAUUGGGCGUAAAGCGUAUGUAGGUGGCCGGAUAAGUCAGACGUGUAAGCCCACGGCUCAACCGUGGAAUUGCGUUUGAAUCUAUUCGGCUUGAGUGCAGGAGAGGAAAGCGGAAUUUCCAGUGUANCGGUGAAAUGCGUUGAUAUUUGGAAGAACACCAGUGGCGAAGGCGGCUNUCUGGCCUGCAACUGACACUGAGAUACGAAAGCCAGGGGAGCGAACGGNAUUAGAUACCCNNGUAGUCCUGGCUGUAAACGAUGGGCACUAGNUGUAGGAGGUGUUGAUCCCUUCUGUGCCGCAGCUAACGCAUUAAGUGNCCCGCCUGGGGAGUACGGUCGCAAGGCUG
rnacentral:rRNA from 1 species